rnacentral:rRNA from 1 species
AUUGAACGCUGGCGGCAUGCUUUACACAUGCAAGUCGAACGGUAACAGGCCGCAAGGUGCUGACGAGUGGCGAACGGGUGAGUAAUGCAUCGAAACGUGCCCAGUCGUGGGGGAUAACUACUCGAAAGAGUAGCUAAUACCGCAUACGAUCUAUGGAUGAAAGCGGGGGACCGUAAGGCCUCGCGCGAUUGGAGCGGCCGAUGUCAGAUUAGGUAGUUGGUGGGGUAAAGGCUCACCAAGCCAACGAUCUGUAGCUGGUCUGAGAGGACGACCAGCCACACUGGGACUGAGACACGGCCCAGACUCCUACGGGAGGCAGCAGUGGGGAAUUUUGGACAAUGGGCGCAAGCCUGAUCCAGCAAUGCCGCGUGCAGGAAGAAGGCCUUCGGGUUGUAAACUGCUUUUGUACGGAACGAAACGGCUCUGGUUAAUACCCGGGGCUAAUGACGGUACCGUAAGAAUAAGCACCGGCUAACUACGUG